GCCUGAGUGGCUCAGUUGCUUGAGCAUCUGACUUUGGCUCAGGUCAUGAUCUCACGGUUUGUGGGUUCGAGCCCCGCGUCGGGCU
rnacentral:tRNA from 1 species